AGAUUGAACGCUGGCGGCAUGCUUUACACAUGCAAGUCGAACGGCAGCACGGGGGGCAACCCUGGUGGCGAGCGGCGAACGGGUGAGUAAUGCAUCGGAACCGUAUCCUUGAGUGGGGGGAUAACGUCAGCGAAAAGGUUGUGCUAAUUACCGCAUAAGCUACUGAGGAGGAAAGGCGGGGGACCGAAAGGCCUCGCGCUGAACGGAGCGGCCGAUGGUCCGAUUAGCUAGUUGGUGAGGUAAAGGCUUACCAAGGCGACGAUCGGUAG
rnacentral:rRNA from 1 species